rnacentral:rRNA from 1 species
AGUGAACGCUGGCGGUAGACCUAACACAUGCAAGUCGAACGGCAGCACAGUAAGAGCUUGCUCUUACGGGUGGCGAGUGGCGGACGGGUGAGGAAUGCAUCGGAAUCUACUUUUUCGUGGGGGAUAACGUAGGGAAACUUACGCUAAUACCGCAUACGACCUACGGGUGAAAGCAGGGGAUCUUCGGACCUUGCGCGAUUGAAUGAGCCGAUGUCGGAUUAGCUAGUUGGCGGGGUAAAGGCCCACCAGGGCGACGAUCCGUAGCUGGUCUGAGAGGAUGAUCAGCCACACUGGAACUGAGACACGGUCCAGACUCCUACGGGAGGCAGCAGUGGGGAAUAUUGGACAAUGGGCGCAAGCCUGAUCCAGCCAUACCGCGUGGGUGAAGAAGGCCUUCGGGUUGUAAAGCCCUUUUGUUGGGAAAGAAAAGCAGCAGGUUAAUACCCCGCUGUUCUGACGGUACCCAAAGAAUAAGCACCGGCUAACUUCGUG